GACAAUUCACCUACGGUUAUCUUCAGGAGCAUGACCUGGAACCGAAUCGAUGUCCUAUUAGCGCUUGAGGAAAUCGAGCCCAAUUGGAAACUCUCCAGCAGUG
rnacentral:ribozyme from 1 species